ACACGUAGGGGGCGAGCGUUGUCCGGAUUUAUUGGGCCUAAAGCAUCCGUAGCCGGCUCUGUAAGUUUUCGGUUAAAUCUGUACGCUUAACGUACAGGCUGCUGGGAAUACUGCAGAGCUAGGGAGUGGGAGAGGUAGACGGUACUCGGGAGGAAGUGGUAAAAUGCUUUGAUCUCUCGAUGACCACCUGUGGCGAAGGCGGUCUACCAGAACACGUCCGACGGUGAGGGAUGAAAGCUGGGGGAGCAAACCGGAUUAGAAACCCUAGUAGUCC
rnacentral:rRNA from 1 species